AGUCGACCGCCUGGGGAGUACGGCCGCAAGGUUAAAACUCAAAUGAAUUGACGGGGGCCCGCACAAGCGGUGGAGCAUGUGGUUUAAUUCGAUGCAACGCGAAGAACCUUACCUGGUCUUGACAUCCACGGAAGUUUUCAGAGAUGAGAAUGUGCCUUCGGGAACCGUGAGACAGGUGCUGCAUGGCUGUCGUCAGCUCGUGUUGUGAAAUGUUGGGUUAAGUCCCGCAACGAGCGCAACCCUUAUCCUUUGUUGCCAGCGGUCCGGCCGGGAACUCAAAGGAGACUGCCAGUGAUAAACUGGAGGAAGGUGGGGAUGACGUCAAGUCAUCAUGGCCCUUACGACCAGGGCUACACACGUGCUACAAUGGCGCAUACAAAGAGAAGCGACCUCGCGAGAGCAAGCGGACCUCAUAAAGUGCGUCGUAGUCCGGAUUGGAGUCUGCAACUCGACUCCAUGAAGUCGGAAUCGCUAGUAAUCGUGGAUCAGAAUGCCACGGUGAAUACGUUCCCGGGCCUUGUACACACCGCCCGUCACACCAUGGGAGUGGGUUGCAAAAGAAGUAGGUAGCUUAACCUUCGGGAGGGCGCUUACCACUUUGUGAUUCAUGACUGGGGUGAAGUCGUAACAAGGUAACCGUAGGGGAACCUGCGGUUGGAUCACCUCCUU
rnacentral:rRNA from 1 species